rnacentral:rRNA from 1 species
AUUGAACGCUGGCGGCAGGCUUAACACAUGCAAGUCGAGCGGGGAAGGGUAGCUUGCUACCUAACCUAGCGGCGGACGGGUGAGUAAUGCUUAGGAAUCUGCCAUUUAGUGGGGGACAACAUUCCGAAAGGAAUGCUAAUACCGCAUACGUCCUACGGGAGAAAGCAGGGGAUCUUCGGACCUUGCGCCAAAUGAUGAGCCUAAGUCGGAUUAGCUAGUUGGUGGGGUAAAGGCCUACCAAGGCGACGAUCUGUAGCGGGUCUGAGAGGAUGAUCCGCCAAGCUGGGACUGAGACACGGCCCAGACUCCUACGGGAGGCAGCAGAGGGGAAUAUUGGACAAUGGGCGGAAGGCUGAUCCAGCCAUGCCGCGUGUGUGAAGAAGGCCUUAUGGUUGUAAAGCACUUUAAGCGAGGAGGAGGCUACCUAGAUUAAUACUCUAGGAUAGUGGACGUUACUCGCAGAAUAAGCACCGGCUAACUCUGUGCCAGCCGCCGCGGUAACAC